rnacentral:rRNA from 2 species
UACGAAGGGGGCUAGCGUUGCUCGGAAUCACUGGGCGUAAAGGGUGCGUAGGCGGGUUUCUAAGUCAGAGGUGAAAGCCUGGAGCUCAACUCCAGAACUGCCUUUGAUACUGGAAGUCUUGAGUAUGGCAGAGGUGAGUGGAACUGCGAGUGUAGAGGUGAAAUUCGUAGAUAUUCGCAAGAACACCAGUGGCGAAGGCGGCUCACUGGGCCAUUACUGACGCUGAGGCACGAAAGCGUGGGGAGCAAACAGG